GAGGACGUGCUCCAUCAAAAUGAGAGAGUAAACCAAGAAAGUGGAAAACAGAGAAUCCAGGAAACAGGGGAUGCAACAGAAGAGAGAGGAGGUAGUCGAUUAUAUGAUGCUUAAAGCUGAAACAUCAAGAUAAAGCUAAAAGAGUUGAAGGUGGCUGCCUCUGGGACAAGGGAUCAGCACCAGAGGGAGAUGACCUCAGCAAAGGACAUCGAACCUGUGGGAGCACCUGUGAGGCAAGAAGUCCUCUGCCCUCUACCCUCACCCUCCCCAGCCAUCA
rnacentral:lncRNA from 10 species